GCUGGCGGCGCGCCUAACUCAUGCAAGUCGAGCGAGAACCAGGGCUUCGGCCCUGGSGACAGCGGCGAACGGGUGAGUAACACGUGGAUAACCUGCCCUCGGCACCGGAAUAGCCCGGGGAAACUCGGAUUAAUGCCGGAUAGCCCCACAUCCCUGCGGGGAACGUGGGAAAAGGUAGCUUCGGCCUCUGGCCGAGGAUGGGUCCGCGGUGGAUUAGCUUGUUGGCGGGGUAACGGCCCACCAAGGCGACGAUCCAUAGCUGGUCUGAGAGGACGAUCAGCCACACUGGGACUGAGACACGGCCCAGACUCCUACGGGAGGCAGCAGUGGGGAAUCUUGCGCAAUGGGCGAAAGCCUGACGCAGCGACGCCGCGUGCGGGAAGAAGGCCUUCGGGUUGUAAACCGCUUUCAGGAGGGACGAAGCCACUCGGGUUAAUAGCCCAGAGGGUGACGGUACCUCCAGAAGAAGCCCCGGCUAACUACGUGCCAGCAGCCGCGGUAAUACGUAGGGGGCAAGCGUUGUCCGGAUUCAUUGGGCGUAAAGAGCGUGUAGGCGGCCAGGUAGGUCGGUUGUGAAAACUGGAGGCUCAACCUUCAGAGGUCGAC
rnacentral:rRNA from 1 species